rnacentral:rRNA from 13 species
GGGUUGUGAGGUUAAGCGACUAAGCGUACACGGUGGAUGCCCUGGCAGUCAGAGGCGAUGAAGGACGUGCUAAUCUGCGAAAAGCGUCGGUAAGGUGAUAUGAACCGUUAUAACCGGCGAUGUCCGAAUGGGGAAACCCAGUGCAAUUCGUUGCACUAUCGUUAACUGAAUACAUAGGUUAACGAGGCGAACCGGGGGAACUGAAACAUCUAAGUACCCCGAGGAAAAGAAAUCAACCGAGAUUCCCCCAGUAGCGGCGAGCGAACGGGGAGCAGCCCAGAGUCUGAAUCAGCUUGUGUGUUAGUGGAACGGUCUGGAAAGUCCGACGGUACAGGGUGAUAGUCCCGUACACCAAAAUGCACAGGCUGUGAACUCGAAGAGUAGGGCGGGACACGUGGUAUCCUGUCUGAAUAUGGGGGGACCAUCCUCCAAGGCUAAAUACUCCUGACUGACCGAUAGUGAACCAGUACCGUGAGGGAAAGGCGAAAAGAACCCCGGCGAGGGGAGUGAAAAAGAACCUGAAACCGUGUACGUACAAGCAGUGGGAGCACCUUCGGGUGUGACUGCGUACCUUUUGUAUAAUGGGUCAGCGACUUAUAUUCUGUAGCAAGGUUAACCGUAUAGGGGAGCCGCAGGGAAACCGAGUCUUAACUGGGCGUUAAGUUGCAGGGUAUAGACCCGAAACCCGGUGAUCUAGCCAUGGGCAGGUUGAAGGUUGGGUAACACUAACUGGAGGACCGAACCGACUAAUGUUGAAAAAUUAGCGGAUGACUUGUGGCUGGGGGUGAAAGGCCAAUCAAACCGGGAGAUAGCUGGUUCUCCCCGAAAGCUAUUUAGGUAGCGCCUCGUGAACUCAUCUUCGGGGGUAGAGCACUGUUUCGGCUAGGGGGUCAUCCCGACUUACCAACCCGAUGCAAACUACGAAUACCGAAGAAUGUUAUCACGGGAGACACACGGCGGGUGCUAACGUCCGUCGUGAAGAGGGAAACAACCCAGACCGCCAGCUAAGGUCCCAAAGUCAUGGUUAAGUGGGAAACGAUGUGGGAAGGCACAGACAGCCAGGAUGUUGGCUUAGAAGCAGCCAUCAUUUAAAGAAAGCGUAAUAGCUCACUGGUCGAGUCGGCCUGCGCGGAAGAUGUAACGGGGCUAAACCAUGCACCGAAGCUGCGGCAGCGACACUAUGUGUUGUUGGGUAGGGGAGCGUUCUGUAAGCCUGCGAAGGUGUGCUGUGAGGCAUGCUGGAGGUAUCAGAAGUGCGAAUGCUGACAUAAGUAACGAUAAAGCGGGUGAAAAGCCCGCUCGCCGGAAGACCAAGGGUUCCUGUCCAACGUUAAUCGGGGCAGGGUGAGUCGACCCCUAAGGCGAGGCCGAAAGGCGUAGUCGAUGGGAAACAGGUUAAUAUUCCUGUACUUGGUGUUACUGCGAAGGGGGGACGGAGAAGGCUAUGUUAGCCGGGCGACGGUUGUCCCGGUUUAAGCAUGUAGGCUGAUUGUCCAGGCAAAUCCGGAUAAUCAAGGCUGAGGUGUGAUGACGAGGCACUACGGUGCUGAAGUAACAAAUGCCCUGCUUCCAGGAAAAGCCUCUAAGCAUCAGGUAACAUCAAAUCGUACCCCAAACCGACACAGGUGGUCAGGUAGAGAAUACCAAGGCGCUUGAGAGAACUCGGGUGAAGGAACUAGGCAAAAUGGUGCCGUAACUUCGGGAGAAGGCACGCUGGUGUGUAGGUGAAGUCCCUGCGGAUGGAGCUGAGACCAGUCGAAGAUACCAGCUGGCUGCAACUGUUUAUUAAAAACACAGCACUGUGCAAACACGAAAGUGGACGUAUACGGUGUGACGCCUGCCCGGUGCCGGAAGGUUAAUUGAUGGGGUUAUCCGUAAGGAGAAGCUCUUGAUCGAAGCCCCGGUAAACGGCGGCCGUAACUAUAACGGUCCUAAGGUAGCGAAAUUCCUUGUCGGGUAAGUUCCGACCUGCACGAAUGGCGUAAUGAUGGCCAGGCUGUCUCCACCCGAGACUCAGUGAAAUUGAACUCGCUGUGAAGAUGCAGUGUACCCGCGGCAAGACGGAAAGACCCCGUGAACCUUUACUAUAGCUUGACACUGAACAUUGAGCCUUGAUGUGUAGGAUAGGUGGGAGGCUUUGAAGCGUGGACGCCAGUCUGCGUGGAGCCAACCUUGAAAUACCACCCUUUAAUGUUUGAUGUUCUAACGUUGGCCCCUGACCGGGGUUGCGGACAGUGUCUGGUGGGUAGUUUGACUGGGGCGGUCUCCUCCCAAAGCGUAACGGAGGAGCACGAAGGUUAGCUAAUCCUGGUCGGACAUCAGGAGGUUAGUGCAAUGGCAUAAGCUAGCUUGACUGCGAGCGUGACGGCGCGAGCAGGUGCGAAAGCAGGUCAUAGUGAUCCGGUGGUUCUGAAUGGAAGGGCCAUCGCUCAACGGAUAAAAGGUACUCCGGGGAUAACAGGCUGAUACCGCCCAAGAGUUCAUAUCGACGGCGGUGUUUGGCACCUCGAUGUCGGCUCAUCACAUCCUGGGGCUGAAGUAGGUCCCAAGGGUAUGGCUGUUCGCCAUUUAAAGUGGUACGCGAGCUGGGUUUAGAACGUCGUGAGACAGUUCGGUCCCUAUCUGCCGUGGGCGCUGGAGAAUUGAGGGGGGCUGCUCCUAGUACGAGAGGACCGGAGUGGACGCAUCACUGGUGUUCGGGUUGUCAUGCCAAUGGCACUGCCCGGUAGCUAAAUGCGGAAGAGAUAAGUGCUGAAAGCAUCUAAGCACGAAACUUGCCCCGAGAUGAGUUCUCCCUGAGACUUUAAGUCUCCUGAAGGAACGUUAAAGACGAUGACGUUGAUAGGCCGGGUGUGUAAGCGCAGCGAUGCGUUGAGCUAACCGGUACUAAUGAACCGUGAGGCUUAACCUUACAACGCCGAAG